GAUGCUCUCCCAUCCCUCCGUCUCCCGGUGCUCAGCUCCCUCCUCCUUCCUCUCUCAAAAGCCAAGAGCUUCAAGAUUCCUCACUGUUCAGCCUUGUUCCAAAAGAUACUCUUGUUCGAACCAGAAUCAACGACUUCUGUGUAAAGCUCGAGGAGACAGUAGAUUCCAAGUCAGGAAAGUAAAGACUUGGUUCCUGGAUUUCUUGUCGCAUUCCUGGCAUCAGUAAAGCUCGCGUUCAGUCUAUUAUUAAAUCAGGAAUUGUUUCUGUCAAUGGAAAGAUUACCUAUAAGUUUUCGCAUAAUGUAAAGGCUGGAGAUGAGAUGGAUUGCAUAAUUUUAGAGUGGAAAUCUUUGAGGGUUGAACCUGAGAAUUUACCUUUGGAUAUCGUCUAUGAAGAUGAGAAUGUUCUGGUUGUUAACAAACCUGCCCAGAUGGUGAUCACUCUUUAAAAAAAGGUUGAAACUUUGAUUAGCUAAUGUUGUGUUUGGAUUGAAAUGUGAUGCUGAGAUUUUCCUUUUUGAUUGUGUGAUUUACGUUGUUCAUCCUGCGCCUGGUAAUGCUACCGGCACGCUGGUGAAUGGGAUACCACAACAUAGUAGUCUUCCAACAGUUUCAAACCAGGAAGUUUUGUCGGAUACAGAGGAUAUUUCUGACGACGAUAAUGGUGAAGGGUUAUGUUCUAGCUCAUACGUAGCAUCUGUUCGGCCAGGGAUAGUGCAUCGGUUGGAUAAAGGCACCAGUGGAUUGCUUGUUGUUGCUAAGGUGACUUCCCCCCCUUUUAAUAACCUUAGUGAUUUUAAUGUUAAAUUUGCUGUCAAAAUUUAUGAAAUAGUUUCGCUAAUUCUUUAGAGCAGUAUAUAUUGAUGGUGGGAUGAACAUUCGCAUGCUCAUUUAUCUGAGCAAUUCAAGAGGACAAUGAAAGUCCUCUAUUAAGUGACGAGGUUUAUGGAGGGACUUGAAACAUGACCUUGUCACUGCUUCGAUCCAGAACCGACCCUAGUUGUCAUAUCCAACUUUCUUUAUCACUUUCAGGAUUAUAGCGGCCAUUCCUCCAUGGUUUGGCUCUCGGAUGGGGCAUUUAGAAGAUAAAGCUUUGUCCAUUUGCUUCACUGCUUUCCAUUGACACAACUGGAUAAUAUGGAAGUUUGCUUCUUUCCAUUGUUUUGUAGAUUCACACAUCUGUUCACGGGGAAAGAAAUACAUUUUUCAUGCCCGCCUCCUCCAGAUUUUACAGACAUCUUACUAUUUGUGUUCCUUCGAAAGUUGCAAGUUGAAUGUAAAACCUAAACUUUUGGAAGAUCAUCUAAUCUUGUCUGCUAUAUGAUUAACAGAAGAAAACAUAACAUAGGGUUGCUCAAGUAACACCCGGUCCCGGCACAUCAUGAAUUUUGCUUAAUCUGGCAUGUGUCUUGUCAUUCUGUUAAAUUGUGGUAUAAAAUGGUGUUUUACAUGCUUUUCAUCUUGCUUCUUUAAUCUGAAGGGGUCAACAAUCCGUCAUUUGAUCAUAACCUAGAUUUUAUGUGGUUUUAUUGUACAAGACUGAAGUUUCUGACUGAUGUUGUUCAUGGUGUGAGCAAAUAAUUUUAGGAACUUGUCUGCCUGAUUUUUAACCGUUUGAUGAGCAACCUUCAUUUAAGGAAUGAUAGAUUUUCUCGAGCAGCAAUAAGAAAAGAUUGUUCCGCGAGCAAAGACGACAGUGUCAAAACACGCGGAAGGAUGCAACACCAAAUGGACAAAUUCGUGGUGAGCGCAAGAUUCGGGCAUGUUAAUGAAGGUGCUGGCAAGAAGAUUCUACACGGUACAUUUAGGAUUCUGAGGUAGUUCCUCAUCACAAGAGAUGGCACUGCCUCGUUCAGUUGAUAGUUGUCAGAAUAGUCUACUACCAUGGUAACUUGGAACGCCAUUCACGAACAGUUGAGAAUGAGAGAGAGAUUUAAUCGCUAGGAGAAUUUUCGCUUAAUCCCGUGUGUUUUGUUGUGAGAAUAUUAGAGUUUUCGCUUAAUCCCGUGUGUUUUGUUGUGAGACUAUUAGAGGCGACGAAUUAGUUGAUUAAUUUAUGUAUACCUUAACAUGGAUUUUUUAGAUUCGUUUUCUAAUGAUCCGAGGAUUUCUGUGAUGUGCAAGAAAAGCACCAUUCAAAUGUAAA